UACGGAGGGAGCUAGCGUUAAUCGGAAUUACUGGGCGUAAAGCGUGCGCAGGCGGUUAUGUAAGACAGAUGUGAAAUGCCCGGGCUUAACCUGGGAACUGCAUUUGUGACUGCAUGGCUAGAGUUUGGCAGAGGGGGGUAGAAUUCCACGUGUAGCAGUGAAAUGCGUAGAGAUGUGGAGGAACACCGAUGGCGAAGGCAGCCCCCUGGGUCAAGAUUGACGCUCAUGCACGAAAGCGUGGGGAGCAAACAGG
rnacentral:rRNA from 1 species